rnacentral:rRNA from 1 species
AGAGUUUGAUCCUGGCUCAGAUUGAACGCUGGCGGAAUGCUUUACACAUGCAAGUCGAACGGCAGCACGGGAGCUUGCUCCUGGUGGCGAGUGGCGAACGGGUGAGUAAUGCGUCGGAACGUACCGAGUAAUGGGGGAUAACGCACCGAAAGGUGUGCUAAUACCGCAUACGCCCCGAGGGGGAAAGCAGGGGAUCGUAAGACCUUGCGUUAUUCGAGCGGCCGACGUCUGAUUAGCUAGUUGGUGGGGUAAAGGCCUACCAAGGCGACGAUCAGUAGCGGGUCUGAGAGGAUGAUCCGCCACACUGGAACUGAGACACGGUCCAGACUCCUACGGGAGGCAGCAGUGGGGAAUUUUGGACAAUGGGGGCAACCCUGAUCCAGCCAUUCCGCGUGAGUGAAGAAGGCCUUCGGGUUGUAAAGCUCUUUCAGCUGGAACGAAACGGUACGCUCUAACAUAGCGUGCUAAUGACGGUACCAGCAGAAGAAGCACCGGCUAACUACGUGCCAGCAGCCGCGGUAAUACGUAGGGUGCGAGCGUUAAUCGGAAUUACUGGGCGUAAAGCGUGCGCAGGCGGAUUGUUAAGCAAGACGUGAAAUCCCCGGGCUUAACCUGGGAAUGGCGUUUUGAACUGGCAGUCUAGAGUGUGUCAGAGGGGGGUAGAAUUCCACGUGUAGCAGUGAAAUGCGUAGAUAUGUGGAGGAAUACCGAUGGCGAAGGCAGCCCCCUGGGUCGAUACUGACGCUCAUGCACGAAAGCGUGGGGAGCAAACAGGAUUAGAUACCCUGGUAGUC